AAAGCUAGAUUGUCUGCUGGAAACUAGAGCUAAAGAAACUAGUGUCAAAAGUUUUCAAGAAAAUAUUACCAGGCUGGGCACUUCAAUGUAAUUAUCAAAGUGCGGUGAAUGGAAGAAUAUAGCUUACCCGGGAUCCUAAUGUAUAUUGUUUGGAUAUUGACAGAGUAGAGCCUCAGCUAAUCCAGUGCUUAGGUAGGGGC
rnacentral:lncRNA from 1 species